rnacentral:rRNA from 1 species
CAAGUCGAACGGGAUCUUCGGAUUCUAGUGGCGGACGGGUGAGUAACGCGUAAGAAUCUAACUUCAGGACGGGGACAACAGUUGGAAACGACUGCUAAUACCCGAUAUGCCGCGAGGUGAAACCUAAUUGGCCUGAAGAAGAGCUUGCGUCUGAUUAGCUAGUUGGUGGGGUAAGAGCCUACCAAGGCGACGAUCAGUAGCUGGUCUGAGAGGAUGAGCAGCCACACUGGGACUGAGACACGGCCCAGACUCCUACGGGAGGCAGCAGUGGGGAAUUUUCCGCAAUGGGCGAAAGCCUGACGGAGCAACGCCGCGUGAGGGAGGAAGGUCUUUGGAUUGUAAACCUCUUUUCUCAAGGAAGAAGUUCUGACGGUACUUGAGGAAUCAGCCUCGGCUAACUCCGUGCCAGCAGCCGCGGUAAUACGGGGGAGGCAAGCGUUAUCCGGAAUUAUUGGGCGUAAAGCGUCCGCAGGUGGUCAGCCAAGUCUGCCGUCAAAUCAGGUUGCUUAACGACCUAAAGGCGGUGGAAACUGGCAGACUAGAGAGCAGUAGGGGUAGCAGGAAUUCCCAGUGUAGCGGUGAAAUGCGUAGAGAUUGGGAAGAACAUCGGUGGCGAAAGCGUGCUACUGGGCUGUAUCUGACACUCAGGGACGAAAGCUAGGGGAGCGAAAGGGAUUAGAUACCCCUGUAGUCCUAGCCGUAAACGAUGGAUACUAGGCGUGGCUUGUAUCGACCCGAGCCGUGCCGAAGCUAACGCGUUAAGUAUCCCGCCUGGGGAGUACGCACGCAAGUGUGAAACUCAAGGAAUUGACGG